UCCAAAACCUACGUCAGGGAUUUCGCGUGAGGAAACGAGUACUGUGAGCUGUUGGGAAAUUUCGUCAAACAACUCAACUUCUGGUUGGCUUUUUAUCAAAUUAAAAUGGGAUGCAAAUCUAAUCCCAAGGACACAGACAUGCAAAAGGAGGGUCCACAACAGGAAGAUGUUGUCACAGACUGUGAAUCCCACACAUCACAUGCAACUAGGCAUGACACUAGUCCACCGUUCACUGUGCCAAACACCAACGUAUCAAGUGGUAGCAAUAACACACUCUCAGUGCCAACAACCCCUGUCCGAUCAGCACAACAACAUAUGCACCAUAGCUCAACCGAUCCUCAUAUGCAUGGCCCUCGUCCCCAUAGUGCUCACUACCACCAUCAACUGGUGGGCCGGCUUCUACGAGUGAUGGGUGAUAAUUAUUGUUAUAGUUGUGGUAUAGCACUGCGGCAGAUGGGUGACGAACUAUCAGGGGAAUAUGAAGUCCGGAGGGCAUUCAGUACGGGAGACUUGCCCAGUUCCAUAAAAAAUUCCUGACAAUCCAAUGUGCCAGUGUUUUAUUGAGUGAUCAUAUUUUCAUAAUUCCUGCUGUGAAGCUCCUCAUCCAGACACGAAGACAUUGGUGCCAGCCUUGACCUGUGUACGGGAGAUCUCAGAUGCCAAAUUAGAGAAUGUGCAUUGUUUAUAUGACUGAGACCAUUUUUGCAUCAAUUAUGUGUGUCAAGUUUUAAUUUAUUGAAAUGGCCAAAUGAUGCUGAUGGUUGUGUUUCUGUUGAACUUUGAGCUGACCAUGCUUGCAAACUACAAGGUCAAACAGACGUUGCUGCCAGUGUGUUGGUAGCCAGUAACUUAUUCUCAUGAAUGUUACACAGUAUUGCUAUUUUGCCUAUUCAUUUUUACAUUGGUGUGUUUGUUGAUAUGUAUGCAGUGGGUACGAGGCUAUCCAGAAGACAAUGUUUAUAAAUAAAAAAUAUCUGAUACUGUGUACCCAACUAAUGUAACAAGUGAUUUGAUAUAUUCUAUUAAAUAUGCAUUUUGCCAAAAAAAUAAUUGAUUUUGUAUUUUUGAUGAAAUAUUAGGAUUGAAUGAAAGUGAUGAUAUGUACCUUAAUACUAGAGUUUCAUGUUAGUCACAAACAUUACUUAUUUCUGAGCAUAAAUAUUUCUUUUUGAAGUGAAAUUAAUGAUGAGAAAAUAUAGUAAUUGGCAGAUAAAUAUUCUUUUUGAAAGUCUUGAUCCACAGUUAUUUAGUUGAAAUUUGUAUUCAUAAAUAUUCACUGUGUUGAAUAUCUUCAAAUUUACAAAAUAGUCAAUCUGCAUAUUAACUGUCUGUUUUACUGUAUUUUCGUGAAGAAAGUGGCUUUCUACCUAAUAGUACUAUUGAUACUAUUCUAAUAGAACUGAACCAAGAAAACUGUAACAGAGUACUACAUGGUUUUAAAUUUAUUAUCAUGAUGUCAUAUUUUUGUUUAUUUCUUGAAAGAGGAAACUGUGAAUUCCUCAAUGACCAUAUCAACUCGUAAGUGCUAACAUGUCAUAGAGACCCUGAUAAAAGGUAUACCUGAAUUUAAUUCUCCAAACCAUCCCGUAUUUUGUCUUGUACAUCGACAUUGAUGCACUGCAGGCCGUAUCAUGGCGGUUGUAGCUAAUGUAUUGUUGUUGUAAGCACCCUGGAUACUAGGAACAUUGACGAAGGAGUGUUUAUUAAAGCCAUACAUAGAUAGAUUUGUUGUCAGAGAUCAAGUGGUUGCAAUGAAAUGUAUUUAAAAUGUUUUUAAAUUCUGAAACUGAAACCAUUUCGUAAUUAGUUUGUUACCUCUAUGUACUAAUUUUUCACAUAAAAAUGUGUAAUAUACACUAGACAAUAUCAACUGUCAAGUGAAUAAUAUGUGGUGCUUAUGGAGGUUAGUUUUUGAGUGAUAGAUCCUGGGGUGUUUAUUUGAGUUUGGGGCUUGAUACAUGCUUUUGAGAGCAGGUUGUUACAGCAAAUUGUAUUGUUUAGUAUCUUUUAGAGACCAUUUUUUAUUUUACUGUUUGUCAUCACCACUCAUCUAGUGGUUAUUAAAAUCAAAACAAAUAUAUUUCAUUCCCACCUAUCAUACUCAUUCCAACUUGAAACUGUUAAUACCUAUAACAAACUGCUUUGAAAUGCAGUUAGAAACUCUGGAGUUAUGUCCCCUGAUAUUAUGUUUCCAUGUCUUUGUCAUACACUACUACUGAGGCCUUGUGAAGGAUAAAUAUGAAGAGAAUGAGGAAGUCAGUCUCUCCCAAAUUUGGACCUUUCAAUAUUAAAACUGAAAAUAGGUGUAGGAAGUUCCCAGUAUAUGUGUUGGAAGCAAGAAGGAAAAGUUCCCUUAAACAACACAAGGCCAGUUGAACAUUAUUAAUAGCUGUUAGUAAACUAGCACUUUGGGUAUUCUUGAUGAUGAUGAUGUGUUUAUGAUGAUUAUGACCUGACGCUUGCUCAUACUCAAGUGGCAUCAUAUUGCCACUGUGCAAUACAAGUCUUCCACCCAGCUGGAGCAACGCUGAUGUGAUGCUUGUUAUGUGGGAAAGAAAUCACUGUAGUCAUUUCACUACAUGACAUUCACCAUACAUAGUAAGCUUAGCUAUUGUCCAUGUGUCAGUGACCUGGACAGUCUUAUGGCAUCAGACAAAUGUGACAGAAUAACCUGAUAAUAAGACCAUUCCUUUUAUGUAAAUAUCUCGGUAGCCGUUAAAUGGCAAAUAUGGCUGGCUUGAUUCUGGCAUUUUAUUGUGCUUGUUCCUUCAAUUGGAAUAAAAGAUACAAGUCCUUUGUGGUUGACCUCAUUGAAAUUUCAAUGAUAAUUUAAUUUCUGCAGGGAUGUAAUUUUAAAAAAAAUGACUGACGUGUAUUGUCAUGUUUCUAAAUACUUUCAAAUGUUGUAAAGUCAAGAUUAUUGAUGGUCCAUGUCAGGGUAGUUAUGUUGAAAAGUGAAGUUAUUCUGGCAAGUGAUAUAAUUACUGAUAAUAUAACCUGUUUCUUAAAACAGGACGUGUUGCCAAAAAUAAUUGAUCAGGAAGAGAACAUUUUGUGAUCAGAUUGACAGACAAAGAAACAGAUUUAAUUUUACUGUAAGAUAGAAGAGUAUUACAAGACAACUUCUAGAUCAAAGAAUUAAUGUGAAAUACUGGUUAUCUGGCUGGUACAGUACUUUUGAAGUUGCUCCAAAUUCAUGGAGAAAUCAUAGUUUAGAGUUACAUCCAUUGUAAUUUACAUUUGUGUUGCCAAAUCAUGGCCCAGAAUAAUUGGUCUCUAGACCUGAGAGUGUCGAAUAACGGGUUUCACUGUGAUCUAUUUUUGACAAAGGAAAUCUCUGUAUUUUAGUCAUAACACUGGUAUUGUUUUCCAUUAAGUGAUUACUGAACAAUUGAAACAUUGAUUUGAAAUUGAAUGGACUUAAUUAUUAUAUCAGUGAAUUGUAACUAGUUCAUCAUGAACAAUCAGUACUUGUGAAAUAAGUUUCUCUUCCUUUGUUGAUGUGUUAUGACAUGCUUCCUGAUUAUUGAUACAUGUUCUCAGUUCCAAGAACUGGUUACCAUGGUUACGAAUGGCUUGUUUGAUCUUGCAGUAUUUGAAGUACAUAGAUAUCCCCUUUAAGGUGUGGUAUUCAUAGUGUUUCUGUAAAUAAAACAAAUUUGUUUUGAAGUGAUGGAAUGAUUCCUAUUGCAAAUAAAUAUUCAUAUCAUCCUACUUCCACAUAUAUUUUUUGUCUUCUUGAUCAAGGAAGAAGUGCAGUUACUGUACAGCACAAAAGGAAUGUCAUUUUUGAAUUUUUACAAAAAUAAAUACAUUUUCUAAAAAGGUU